AUGACUUUUCCAGCCACGACUUUCGGUGGAGGAACCAAACUCAACAACAACUUGGGUGUGGUGCGGCCCACCCUGACCCUCCUCCCCCCCUCCAGUGAAGAGCUGGAGCAGGGCACUGUCACUGUGGUGUGUAUGGCCAGCGGGGGCUUCCCCUCAGCCUGGAGACUGGGCUGGAAGGUGGGGGGCAGAAUCAGGUCCUCAGGGGUGUCUCACAGCCCGGGGGUCCUGGGGGGAACCGGCCACUACAGCUGGAGCAGCACCAUGAGCCUCCCUGCAGAGCAGUGGAGGAAGGCGGGCUCAGUGAGCUGUGAGGCCAGUCUGAACGGACAGAGCCCUGUCGCUCAAACCCUGGACCCUGACCUCUGCUCGGAGUAG